GUGGCAAGAGCUUCCCUGACAGAGCCGGCUCAGGAAACACGAGAAGCUACACUCAGCGGAGCGGCCGUUCGUCUGUGAGAUCUGCACCAAAGCUUUCACCACCCACGCUCACCUUAAAGAACACCUGAAGAUCCACACGGGUCAAAGCCCUACAGGUGUGACGCUUGUGGGAAAUC